GAGUUUGAUCAUGGCUCAGGAUGAACGCCGACAGAAUGCUUAACACAUGCAAGUCUACUUGAUCCUUCGGGUGAAGGUGGCGGACGGGUGAGUAACGCGUAAAGAACUUGCCUUACAGACUGGGACAACAUUUGGAAACGAAUGCUAAUACCGGAUAUUAUGAUUGGGUCGCAUGAUCUGGUUAUGAAAGCUAUAUGCGCUGUGAGAGAGCUUUGCGUCCCAUUAGUUAGUUGGUGAGGUAACGGCUCACCAAGACGAUGAUGGGUAGCCGGCCUGAGAGGGUGAACGGCCACAAGGGGACUGAGACACGGCCCUUACUCCUACGGGAGGCAGCAGUGGGGAAUAUUGGACAAUGGACCAAAAGUCUGAUCCAGCAAUUCUGUGUGCACGAUGAAGUUUUUCGGAAUGUAAAGUGCUUUCAGUUGGGAAGAAGUCAGUGACGGUACCAACAGAAGAAGCGACGGCUAAAUACGUGCCAGCAGCCGCGGUAAUACGUAUGUCGCAAGCGUUAUCCGGAUUUAUUGGGCGUAAAGCGCGUCUAGGCGGCUUAGUAAGUCUGAUGUGAAAAUGCGGGGCUCAACCCCGUAUUGCGUUGGAAACUGCUAAACUAGAGUACUGGAGAGGUAGGCGGAACUACAAGUGUAGAGGUGAAAUUCGUAGAUAUUUGUAGGAAUGCCGAUGGGGAAGCCAGCCUACUGGACAGAUACUGACGCUAAAGCGCGAAAGCGUGGGUAGCAAACAGGAUUAGAUACCCUGGUAGUCCACGCCGUAAACGAUGAUUACUAGGUGUUGGGGGUCGAACCUCAGCGCCCAAGCUAACGCGAUAAGUAAUCCGCCUGGGGAGUACGUACGCAAGUAUGAAACUCAAAGGAAUUGAC
rnacentral:rRNA from 1 species